rnacentral:rRNA from 1 species
CGCGUAGGCGGUUCGGUAAGUCCUGUGUGAAAUCCCUCGGCUCAACUGAGGAACUGCACGGGAGACUGCCAGGCUUGAGUUCGGGAGAGGGAAGCGGAAUUCCGGGUGUAGCGGUGAAAUGCGUAGAUAUCCGGAGGAACACCGGUGGCGAAGGCGGCUUCCUGGACCGACACUGACGCUGAGGCGCGAAAGCUAGGGGAGCAAACGG